rnacentral:rRNA from 1 species
CCUACGGGAGGCAGCAGUGAGGAAUAUUGGUCAAUGGGCGAGAGCCUGAACCAGCCAAGCCGCGUGAAGGAUGAAGGAUCUAUGGUUUGUAAACUUCUUUUAUAUGGGAAUAAAGUGAGGAACGUGUUCCUGUUUGUAUGUACCAUAUGAAUAAGGAUCGGCUAACUCCGUGCCAGCAGCCGCGGUAAUACGGAGGAUCCGAGCGUUAUCCGGAUUUAUUGGGUUUAAAGGGAGCGUAGGUGGAUUGUUAAGUCAGUUGUGAAAGUUUGCGGCUCAACCGUAAAAUUGCAGUUGAAACUGGCAGUCUUGAGAACGGUAGAGGUGGGCGGAAUUCGUAGUGUAGCGGUGAAAUGCUUAGAUAUCACGAAGAACUCCGAUUGCGAAGGCAGCUCACUGGACUGCAACUGACACUGAGGCACGAAAGUGUGGGUAUCAAACAGGAUUAGAUACCCUGGUAGUC